AUUGAACGCUAGCGGGCUGCUUUACACAUGCAAGUCGAACGAGUGGUGGACGGGUGAGUAAUAUAUCGGAAUGUGCCCAGUAGCGGGGGAUAACUACCCGAAAGAGUGGCUUAUACCGCAUACUAUUGCAGCGGCCGAUAUCGGAUUAGCUAGUUGGUGGGGUAAAGGCUCACCAAGGCAACGAGCCGUAGCUGGUGUGAGAGGACAACCAGCAACACUGGGACUGAGACACGGCCCAGACUCCUACGGGAGGCGCAAGUGGGGAAUUUUGGACAAUGGGGGAAACCCUGAUCCAGCCAUCCCGCGUGUAUGAGAAGGCCUGCGGGUUGUAAAGUACUUUUGGCAUAGAAGCGGUAUCUGCAGAAUAAGCACCGGCGAACUACGUGCCAGCCGCCGCGGUAAUUC
rnacentral:rRNA from 1 species